rnacentral:lncRNA from 1 species
UUUGAGUCUUCAUAGUCACACAUGUAUGUAACAAGGGUGAAAUUGGCAGGGAAGAAUUUAGGAUGGAGAGGGGAGAAGUAAGGGGAUAAAUUGUUGAAGGAUAUUUGAAUAUGGUUAAUAGAAAACCUAAUUGGUAUUGAAAUAUCCAAGCUUGGGAAGAUACUGCCUUUUCAGAUGCACCUAGGUGUGUCUUGGAAAGGUGUAUUUUGGGUGUGCCUCUGACAGCCAAAGCCUCAAUACAAGAGAAUGCUAAGGGUUGGAAAGUGCCUGCCCAUUUUGAGGCAAGUUACUUGGGAGGGGUCUUGAGGUCUUUGCUGGGUGACUUGGGGCAAAGUCAGCUUGGAUGGCAUUGAUAUGCUCUUCUGUAAAGGUGAGAAGUUUCAGCUCCCUACAGACUUGACCCGGGUCCUCGCACCACUACCUCCCCCUUGAGCUGACCUGCUGCAGCCUGCCAAGGAUGUAGUAAGGGGGAUAGAGCCUGGUUUUGUAGCAAUAAGACAUUUGAGCUUUCUCUUGGUGGGCAUUCUCUUUGGACUCUGUCUCUAUCUCUUGACUUAGAAUAGCAUUGUGGAAGCAGAGUGGUAAGAAAUAGCAGGACAUAGAUGAGGCAGGAUUUGAAGAAAGAGAGCAAAGGAGCCCUCCUGGGUUUCAGUGAGCUCAAGAGAAAGGUAGACUAUGUAAAAAUGGGCAUAGACAAAGAGAUUUCUGAGCAUCUAGCAGUUUAAUUGUACAUUCAAGCUUGUAAAUAAAUAUAUUGCAUAUAGUUAAGGAAAUGAAGUUAGCUCACUAGGCUAGCAUGUUUUAACCAAGCCUUCUACCUCAUUUGACAUUAUUGGGAAUAUAUAUUAUAAAAUGUAGGCAGGGCGGGGCGGGAGGCUAGGUAGGGUGACAACAGGGGCGUCCGGUCUUCUCUGUCUCUAGAAAGCAGGCAACCGGAGGGAAGAUGGUUUACAUCUUGAAUGGUCAGGUGUUGGACAGCAUUAAUCAGUCCCUAUGGAGAGUGUCUUUCCUAACAGACUUCUGGGGAAUAGCAGAAUUUGUCGUUUUCUGUUUCAAAACUCUGCUUCGGCAAGAUGUAAAGAAAAGAAGAGGCUACGGGAGCUCCUCUGAUUCCAGAUACGAUGAUAGAAGAGGGCCACCAGGAAACCCUCCACGAAGAAUGGGUAGGAUCAAUCACCUUCGUGGACCCAGCCCUCCUCCAAUGGCUGGUGGAUGAGGAAGGUAAAUGUCUGCUCUGAGAAGCAGACAACUAGACAUACACACGUGUAGAAGGAAGCCAUCAAGCAGUGAAGAGCGGCUCAUGCAGGAGUAGAUGGUGUAUGUCCAAACAAGGAUUGCUCUGUGUCCUCACAGAUGAAUGAGGCCAUGCUGGAAAUUCCCUCUGCAGGAUCUGGCCUGACUGAUACACAGUUCUAUAAAUGUACAUGUUUGUCUACUUAUCUCUUUUUUGUAUAGUUUACGAUAGUAUUAAUAUAGUUUUAAGAAGUAAAUAUUUCCAGGUUGCAAAACUUGAUUGUUCAUCUUUAUAUGAUCAUACCCAAAAUCUUUGAUCUGGAAGAAAUAAAGGCCAUGUAUUUAGUCCUGGAAAAAAAAGUGUAAAAAGGUAAAGGUUACAUGAAGUGGUGUAUUAUGAUCUAAUUUAAAUGCAUAAAAAUUAACUUUACAAGAAAAAAUAUAAUAAAUACAGAUAUAGUUAUGAGCAAUUGAUGUUAUUCCAGGUAAUACAGAUUGCAUUUCAAAAAACCUCAUGGCUGUAAUUCAAUUGCUGUAACUGCAAUCCAGAGGGGUAUAAUGCCCUCUUCCGACCACUGUAAGUAAUGCACACAGACAUGUUCCAGCAAUAGACUCACAUAAGUAAAAUAAAAAUAAUGUAUAAAAUAUGGAAUCUUCUACAGAGAUGUCACAGCCUUGAGACACACAGCAUUCAGGAUGCACUUCUUUCUGGUCCUACAGAGAUGCACCUGUGCCUUUCCUCUGAACCAAGUUGCUUAGUUAAAAAGCAGCCUUAUUCUGAGGUUAGACUAGAUCAGCAAACCUGCUCAAGUAAGAAUGGUAACCACAGUGCUGUUAGGUGAUGUUUCCUUGAUAUUUUCUGUUUGUAUUCUCUGUCCAUUGUAUAUGGAGAGUUGUGGCAUUGAUACAUCUUUUAAAUGUACUUUUAGAUCAUACAUUGUUGACUAGAAGGUCGUUUUCCUCGGUAAAUCUCCAUCUGCCUCUGUGACUAUUGUUCAAACUAUAGCUGUGGCCCAAACCUAAGAGAGAC